GCAACAUUAAACCAAGUAUACAAAAUCAUAUAGAACAAUUCUCUAAUCUGCUCUAUUGUUCUUGUUUGGUCUUCGAAACAGUGGCUAUUCCUUUAUCUCCAUACACACCAUACAAUGCAUCCCUGAAUAAGAUUCCAUGCAAGCAUACUAUCCUUAUCUCGAAAUUUUCUCCUCCAUGCCCUCACCACGUCUUCUAUGCACCUAAGGAACACCCAAUCCAAAUGUUGGGAAGCUAGAAGAUCGUUCCACAACCACCAAACACCGUCACAAUGGAGGAACAAAUGGUCAAUCGUCUCCCCAUCUCUCUUGCACAUAUAACACCAUUCGGUCACAUAAAAACCUUUGUUUCGAAGAUUAUCCACCGUUAACAACUGCCCCCUCACAAUCGUCCACAACAAAAAAACUACCCGUGGAGACAAUUUACA
rnacentral:lncRNA from 1 species